UUUUCGCGUGAGGGUUAGCAGCGGAAAUCCCGCAGAGCAGCGAGGACUUGCAGCGAAUAGCCCAACCCGCA
rnacentral:misc_RNA from 1 species